AACAAGGUUUCCGUAGGUGAACCUGCGGAAGGAUCAUUACCGAGUGAGGGCCCUCUGGGUCCAACCUCCCACCCGUGUUUAUUUUACCUUGUUGCUUCGGCGGGCCCGCCUUAACUGGCCGCCGGGGGGCUUACGCCCCCGGGCCCGCGCCCGCCGAAGACACCCUCGAACUCUGUCUGAAGAUUGUAGUCUGAGUGAAAAUAUAAAUUAUUUAAAACUUUCAACAACGGAUCUCUUGGUUCCGGCAUCGAUGAAGAACGCAGCGAAAUGCGAUACGUAAUGUGAAUUGCAAAUUCAGUGAAUCAUCGAGUCUUUGAACGCACAUUGCGCCCCCUGGUAUUCCGGGGGGCAUGCCUGUCCGAGCGUCAUUUCUGCCCUCAAGCACGGCUUGUGUGUUGGGCCCCGUCCUCCGAUCCCGGGGGACGGGCCCGAAAGGCAGCGGCGGCACCGCGUCCGGUCCUCGAGCGUAUGGGGCUUUGUCACCCGCUCUGUAGGCCCGGCCGGCGCUUGCCGAUCAACCCAAAUUUUUAUCCAGGUUGACCUCGGAUCAGGUAGGGAUACCCGCUGAACUUAAGCAUAUCAAUAAGCGGAGGAAAAGAAACCAACAGGGAUUGCCCCAGUAACGGCGAGUGAAGCGGCAAGAGCUCAAAUUUGAAAGCUGGCUCCUUCGGGGUCCGCAUUGUAAUUUGUAGAGGAUGCUUCGGGAGCGGUCCCCAUCUAAGUGCCCUGGAACGGGACGUCAUAGAGGGUGAGAAUCCCGUAUGGGAUGGGGUGUCCGCGCCCGUGUGAAGCUCCUUCGACGAGUCGAGUUGUUUGGGAAUGCAGCUCUAAAUGGGUGGUAAAUUUCAUCUAAAGCUAAAUAUUGGCCGGAGACCGAUAGCGCACAAGUAGAGUGAUCGAAAGAUGAAAAGCACUUUGAAAAGAGAGUUAAAAAGCACGUGAAAUUGUUGAAAGGGAAGCGCUUGCGACCAGACUCGCUCGCGGGGUUCAGCCGGCAUUCGUGCCGGUGUACUUCCCCGCGGGCGGGCCAGCGUCGGUUUGGGCGGUCGGUCAAAGGCCCUCGGAAGGUAACGCCCCUAGGGGCGUCUUAUAGCCGAGGGUGCAAUGCGACCUGCCUAGACCGAGGAACGCGCUUCGG
rnacentral:sRNA from 1 species